rnacentral:rRNA from 1 species
UCAACCAAGUCAGAAGUGAAAGGCAGUGGCUCAACCAUCGUAAGCUUUUGAAACUGGUAGACUUGAGUGCAGGAGAGGAGAGUGGAAUUCCUAGUGUAGCGGUGAAAUGCGUAGAGACUAGGAGGAACACCAGUGGCGAAGGCGACUCUCUGGACUGUAACUGACGCUGAUGCACGAAAGCGUGGGGAGCGAACA